UACGUAGGGUGCAAGCGUUAAUCGGAAUUACUGGGCGUAAAGCGUGCGCAGGCGGUCCGUUAAGACAGAUGUGAAAUCCCCGGGCUUAACCUGGGAACUGCAUUUGUGACUGCACGGCUAGAGUGUGUCAGAGGGGGGUAGAAUUCCACGUGUAGCAGUGAAAUGCGUAGAGAUGUGGAGGAAUACCGAUGGCGAAGGCAGCCCCCUGGGAUAACACUGA
rnacentral:rRNA from 1 species